rfam:Clostridium celatum DSM 1785 genomic scaffold Scfld12, whole genome shotgun sequence.
UGGGUGGUAUUUUAAUUAAACCGCACCAAGAUAUAUUUGAAUUUUAAAGAUUAAAGAAAUAGCUCAUAUCAUAAGUUGAAUGGGACUAAAUA